UACGGGGGGAGCAAGCGUUGUUCGGAUUUACUGGGCGUAAAGGGCGCGUAGGCGGCCAGCACAAGUCAGUUGUGAAAUCUCCGAGCUUAACUCGGAAAGGUCAACUGAUACUGUGCGGCUAGAGUGCGGAAGGGGCAACUGGAAUUCUUGGUGUAGCGGUGAAAUGCGUAGAUAUCGAGAGGAACACCUGCGGCGAAGGCGGGUUGCUGGGCUGACACUGACGCUGAUGCGCGAAAGCCAGGGGAGCGAACGGG
rnacentral:rRNA from 1 species